rfam:Ruminococcus sp. 37_24 Ley3_66761_scaffold_391, whole genome shotgun sequence.
GUACAGGUGGCAGAGUCAGGUUUAAUGCGGAUGCCUUGAAAGCAUUUGAUGGAUAAAACCAUCCGUGGGUUCAAAUCCUACCCUGUACG